AGCCAGUUUGGCGCAGUGGUUAGAGUAUCAGUUUAGGACCUGGGAGACCAGGGUUCAAAUCCCCGCUUGGCCA